ensembl:rRNA 5S_rRNA 5S ribosomal RNA
GUCUACGUCCAUACCACCCUGAAUGUGCCUAAUCUCAUCUGAUUUUGGAAGCUAAGCAGGGUCAGGCCUGGUUAGUACUUGGAUGGGAGACCUCCUGGGAAUACUGGGUGCAAUAGACU